CCAUUGAGGAUGGGAAGAUGGGUGUGUUAGUGCCGGCUGGCCGGGUCCGCCUGGAGCACCCACUGUGGUUCAUAUGGCCACGUCACAAGUGAAAAACACAAAGCAAUUUCCUGAAAUGAACUGUCAUACACCAAGCGAAGAAUUUUGAGACUGGAGGAGUGGAGAAACGUCGAGAAGCACUGUCACUCAGAACGCCUUUCCAAACAUCUACACGUGCUUCUGACAUUCCACCAACUGGAUUUGGAUGGGAAGCAGAAUUCUGGAGAGCGAAGGUGACUGGCAUCAGGUGUAGCUGGAGCCAGAACCCAGGCUUCUCUUCCCAUCCGGCUCCUUCCAAGACUCACGUCGCCUGCCUGUGGGGCUGGAUAUGUACCUAUCCCAGGACGUAACCCCUGGAAGGUGAUUUUUAUAUACAUUUUUAUCUGUGUUGGUGUGAGUGUGUUUAAUUUCUAUCUUGGGUCCUAGAAUGCAGCUUUUCAAAAUACAGUGACUUGAAGAUUCUGUUUAUGUUCCUGUUGAUUAUAAUUUUAUAUAUUUUACUGUAAAUUCUUAACGUGAAAUGUGUAGGUAAUACUGCUUCUUAGUUUUAAAAGGUUGAGAUGAUGGGAACUAAAAAAAUGACACAAUACCCAAAUCCCAGAGGCAGCCUUGUGUUUAUAUGACAGA
rnacentral:lncRNA from 1 species